GAGUGGCAUGAUGGACUCGUCCCUGGGAAGUUGACCAUUCGGGAACCACGGCCCUCCCUCGAAGUCAGGGUACCUCAGUCUCAGUGGGAUCUUCCUUUCCUAAAUGAGGAACGGGACUCAAAGAGGAACACCCCAAGGUCAUACAGCGAAUCUGUGGCUAGGCAUGGGCUUCACCCAGCUCCUUCCUCUGGAAAAGGCCCAAGAGGAAGACCCAGCUGCAGCUCAAGAUGUGAUGGAGACCUCUGGGGGAGGGGAGGCCGGGGAGUCUGACUCUGAGCUUCUUGCAUCAGCCUCAGAUGAUGAAACCCUGUGAGGCAAGGGUGUCUCUCAGACUUCCAACAGAGGGUGACCCUUCUGACUCACAGGUCCACUGCUGGGAAAUGCCACCAGAGCUUUCCUUUCUGCAUCUCCUGACAUUCAGGGUGUACGGCUCUGGGUCUUUCCAUGAAGCACAGGCUAGCAUUGAAACUCAUGAUCCUCCUGCCUCAGCCUCCAGAG